rnacentral:rRNA from 1 species
GGCUCCGGCCCUAUCAGCCUGAAGGCGCCCGAUCUCGUCUAAUCUCGGAAGUUAAGCAGGGUCGGGCCUGGUUAGUAUCUUGGAUGGGAGACCACCUGGGAAUCCCGGGUGCUCGAGGCU